AGCCUAAGUGGAACUCAAGAAAAACCCAAUCCAUCACCCUGCUCCACUAACCCCCGACUCCAUCUUCCCCCUUCUCCUCCAAUUUGAAAUAGCUGAAGCUUCUCACCUCUUUCUCAAAAAAUGGGAUUCCAUCUCUCACUCUCUUUCUCAAAUUGCUGAAGGAUCCUCACCCCUUGCUCUCAUCGCUUCCCUCUCUUUUUCUAAUCGCUAAAGGCUUCUCACCCCCGAUUGAGGUUUUUUCCCCUAUUUCUGAAAUCGCUGAAGACCUUGACGUUCGAUUGAAGGCUCGCCGGCGUCCGGACAUUCUUAUCUUUGAGGUAGCAAUUGGGGCUGCUCGAGGCCUGGCUUUCUUGCAUGCUUCGGAUAGGUCAGUCAUUUCGGGUUUGCGAGAUUUAGGCCUUCGAGAUGUGACUCACAUUAUGUGACAACACGGAUUAUGGGCACCCGCGGCUAUGCUGCACCUGAGUAUGUUGCCAAAGGGAUGCAUUUGACCUAAACGAAAAAACAAAUAUGUCAUUGAGCAUGCCAUCUUUAUGUUAAGACUUAAGAGUGACGUUAUGGCUUCGGAAUUGUGCUGCUUUAGAUGCGAACGGGGCUAAGAGCACCUGACCCGACCCGUCCUAGUAUGCAGCGUUGUUUGGUUGACUGGGCAAAGCCAAUAAUAUUUGACGGAAGAAGGUUAAAAACCAUAAUGGAUGCUCGGAUGGAAAAGCAAUAUCCCAUGAAAGGUGCAUUACUAGCUGCGAAACUGUGUUGGAAUUGUCUUCAAUCUGAUCCUAAAAGCCGUCCAUUCAUGAAAGAAGUUGUUGAGAAAUUGGAACAGAUUGAAGCCAUUAAGGUGAAACCCAAGUUUUGACUCAAGGAUUAUUGUAUCGAUAUCGAUUGGUUGAAUAUAAGAUACGUAUUGGAAGGUAUCAUGUUAGUAUCGAAGAUAUUUUCAACCAUAUUCUUUGAUAGAAAAAAUCAUUGGUUAAAUAUGUAUCUUCUAUCCUAUUUGUAAGUUUUCAAUACAUUUGUGUAAUGUUGUCUUGAUUGAUCAAGUCCGCUUAGUGAUCUUGGUAA